CCUACGGGUGGCAGCAGUGGGGGAUAUUGCACAAUGGGGGGAACCCUGAUGCAGCGACGCCGCGUGGGUGAAGAAGCGCCUCGGCGCGUAAAGCCCUGUCAGCAGGGAAGAAAAUGACGGUACCUGAAGAAGACGCCCCGGCUAACUACGUGCCAGCAGCCGCGGUAAUACGUAGGGGGAAAGCGUUAUCCGGAUUUACUGGGUGGAAAGGGGGCGCAGACGGCGAUGCAAGCCAGGAGUGAAAGCCCGUGGCCCAACCCCGGGACUGCUCUUGGAACUGCGUGGCUGGGGUGCAGGAGGGGCAGGCGGAAUUCCUGGUGUAGCGGAGAAAUGCGUAGAUAUCAGGAGGAACACCGGUGGCGAAGGCGGCCUGCUGGACUGCAACUGACGUUGAGGCCCGAAAGCGUGGGGAGCAAACAGGAUUAGAUACCCUGGUAGUC
rnacentral:rRNA from 1 species